rnacentral:rRNA from 1 species
UACGUAGGUGACCAGCGUUGUCCGGAUUUACUGGGCGUAAAGAGCGCGCAGGCGGUCGUUCAAGUCGAGUGUGAAAGCCCCCCGGCUCAACUGGGGAGGGUCAUUCGAUACUGAUCGACUUGAAGGCAGGAGAGGGAAGUGGAAUUCCCGGUGUAGUGGUGAAAUGCGAUAGAUAUCGGAAGGAAACACCAGUGGCGAAAGACG